AAAAUUUUGGCUCUUCUCAUCUCUCUCGGCAAACUAUCUCUCAAAGCUCUCUGCCAAAAUUUUCCUUUCCCCACAAAGUUUUUUCUGCUGAAUCUCUCCGCAAUCAAACUACCUUUGCUUCCCUAUUGAAGGUAAGAACUAUAUAUUAGUUGGCAUGGUUCACAAGCCCAAUUAAUUAUAAUAGAUGCAGAGCUAAUCAAAGAAUUACUAACCAACAGAGAAGGCGCUUACCAGAAAAUGGAUAUGGAAGGCAUUGCAAAGAAAUUAUCAAAUUAAUAGGUGAGCCGCUUAUAACAAAUGAGGGGAAAAAAUGGGCAAAAGUACACAAACUGGCUAACCACUCAUUCCUUGCAGAGAGCCUAAAGAGCAAGGUACCAGAAAUGAUUGCUAGUGUCGAGGCGUUGCUGGAAAGCAAAGUCUGUAAUUAAGAAGAAGUAUGGCCAAGAUGCAACAAAUGUUGGUGAUGAGGGUGACAUUGCUCUAAUAUCCAGGAGAACAAGGAAGGUCUUGAAUUGCUUAAAACAGCUAUUGCUAAAGCUGGUUACACUGGUAAAGUUGUGAUUGGGAUGGAUGUGGCUGCUUCUGAGUUUUAUGGUAAAGACAAGACUUAUGAUCUAAACUUCAAAGAAGAGAAUAAUGAUGGCUCACAAAAGAUAUCAGGUUAUGACUGAAGGCUCUCAUUUCAUUGGAAAGUUUGGAAGCUACUGCAAGUUCUUUCUACUUGCUAGGGAUGAGAAUAUUUUAGUUUGUGCACAAGAGAAUCUUUUAAGUUUGUGCACAUGAGAAUCUUUCAAGUUUGUAUUUGUUAGGGAUUUGUUAUGUUAGUACUUGUUACUGACUUUUAGUUCAACAAAUUAUAUUUGAGUAUUGACUUUU